ACUCUUAGCAGCAAGUCCUGCUUUUCUGGGGAAGGGGCAAGUACCUCAACCCCUUCUCUCCUUGUCUCUACCCCUUCUCUGCUUUUCUGGGAGAGGGGCAAUUACCCCUCAACCCCUUCUCCUUCACCCUUAGCGGCAAGUCCCGCUUUCCUAGGGGGCAAGAACCCCCCAAUCGCUUAUAUCCACACCCCAACCUCUUAUCUCUGUGCCCCAAUCCCUCAUUUCCGCACCCUGACCUCUUAUCUCUGUGCCCCAAUCCCUUAUUUCUGUGCCCCAACCCCUUCUCUGCACCCCAACCCCUU
rnacentral:lncRNA from 1 species